GCAGAGCACUCCAAACCAGAACCUAAAUGGUAGAGCAACAAACAGCAGCCUGUGCGGGAAGAUAAUGAAAUUUACAAAGCUUCUAGGAAGGCCCAUCUCAAGUCCUUGCAGCUGAGAGAAUCUGAGCCUGCCACCUCAGAAGUGCCUAAGGAUGGUUGUGAGCAUGUGUGGAUGACUUCUUCAGGAGCCGGACAGCAGUACCGUGGGUGUGAGUGAGUGUGGGUGCUUGUGUGGAGAACAAGGACAACUUUUGGGAAUCGAUUCUCUUACCAUUGAACUCAUUAAUAACAGCUUCAGAAUUUGAGGUACACACAUCGGCUGGCACUCCUCGAAAAGCCAAACAGUCUCUUUCACGCUCCAAGGCAGAGUAAGAGGUCAUGAGCCUACCCUGGAGCAGUCUGAGGUCCCUCAGGUCAAGUUGGGACCUGACUAAGAUCACACAGUGCUGAAGGUCGAAGAGCUAAGUGAAAGGGAGGUGGGAGCAAAGGCCAAACCACCGAGUCUCACACCCAAGGGACGAGAAGCAAAGACAGCGGCGGCCCAUUAUCUGCAGCAGGAAAUGUUGGUGAUCCCAAAGCCUGCCACAGAUCCUCCUGCAUCCUCCUGCUUCCGAAAUGCUGGGAUCAAUGUCUACCAGAAAGCAUCCGAACUUGGGGAUCAUGGUACAUCACUUCUGUAAUCUCAGAGCUGCAGACGCCGAGGCCAGAGGAUCAGGAGCACAAGGCCAUCCUCGAGUCUAUGGAGAAUUUUGGUUUCUUUUAAAACCCAGUUAUGUUGUGGGAAUGAGUGUGUGUGUGUGUGUUGUGUGUGUGUCUAUACCUAUCUAUCUUGCCCCAGAGAACCAGAACCCCUAAUCAUCAAGAAGUAGUCUAUAUACACCCCCUUUCUCCUCUAACUUCUUUCUCUCCAACCUACUGUUGGGGUUUGUAAUAAAAGUCGGGAGGUAGACGUAUAAGAACCU